UUUCAUUGCAAUUUAGCCUAGGAAAAUUAUGUUAGUGGGGAACAGGCAAGCAUGGCAAUACUAAAAUGCAACCAAUGCACUUUUAAGUUUGUAAUAUGAGGUCUACAGUUUGGAGUUAAUUCAGAUGUAGAAAAAGAUUACGCAUGAGUAGGACAAACCCUACAUAAAAAUAAAAUUCUCCCAAUUUUUCUAUUUCAAUUCUCUCUCAUUGCACUUUUUGUCUCUCUCGUUGGCCAAGGAAGCAUCCCACUGCAGGCAAGAAGAGAGGGUGAGAGCAAGAAGAGUGAUGCCAUUUUCUAAGAAUUGUUAAAGAGUAUGGUUUAGAUAAGCCAUGGUGAUGGUAUAACAAUGGUGGCCACAACGGCUCUCGAUCGUAGUCAUCGCCGACGAUGGUGGCCGACUGUGGCGAAAUCCGAAGAAAAGAGGGCCAAAACAGGACACCCUGUUUCAGAUAGUUUUCUAGCGAUUCAUCAGCCCAAAUCUCAUCUAAAAUAGCA
rnacentral:lncRNA from 1 species